CCCUUAGAUGUCCUGGGCCGCACGCGCGUUACACUGAUGCAUUCAACGAGCUUAUAACCUUGGCCGAGAGGCCUGGGCAAUCUUGUUAACGUGCAUCGUGAUAGGGAUAGAUUAUUGAAAUUAUUAAUCUUGAACGAGGAAUUCCUAGUAAACGCAGAUCAUCAAUCUGCAUUGAUUACGUCCCUGCCCUUUGUACACACCGCCCGUCGCACCUACCGAUUGGAUGGUCCGGUGAAGCCUCGGGAUUGUGGUUCUUGCCGCUUUAUUGUGGCGUGACCGCGAGAACUUGUCUAAACCUUACCAUUUAGAGGAAGGUGAAGUCGUAACA
rnacentral:rRNA from 1 species